rnacentral:lncRNA from 1 species
AAGCUGGAAAGUCGCCAUAUGACCUAAAAUUGUGUCGGUGCGACGUUAAACCCAACAAAAUAAAUAAAUAAAUUUAUGUUGAGAAUGUCUGAAUUGAUCAUACAGAGAAAACUGUACAAGUGUACAUGUAAGUAUAUAAGUCAUAUGGAAUAAUAUAUCAUAUACAGGUGAUAUUCUCUUAACUUUAACUCAGUAGAAAAGCUGCCAUUUUUAGAGGAUGGGGUUAGUUAUAUAUAAUCUGACAAUUUUUUUUUUCAAAUUUUUCUGUCCAAAAAGAGGAAAUCAGCUGAAAAAGGAAAAAUCACAUCCUUGAAAUUUUAAACUAAUAUUAAAAUUUAUUGAAAUAUCAUGCUUUUUUUCUCCUAGAAAACAACAGCUGCAGCAACAGUACUUGCAUGAAAUAGUACAAUUCUUUUCACCAAUUCAUUAAAAGUUACCUGGCAAAGGGAUUCCUGGAUAAGUGAUAAAUCAUUUGGGUCUAUUAAUCUACUACAGUGUAUGUAUAUUGCUUGUCUCACUACAGGAGAUUAUCUCAUGCAGACUGAUAAGAUCUGGCACAUGCUUUAUAUUUGGAAACUCAUAACAAGAGAUCAACCAAUGAAAAUAAAGUCAGGGAACUACUUCUGGGGGCUGUACAUGUACCACAAAAAGUAAUCCCUAGUUUUUUCUGUUUUAUCAGAGUAAUCUUCAAAAUUUAUGAGUAUGUGAUUGAAUGGAAUAAAAUCUUCCUCUAGUACAAAAAUAUUUUAACAUCAUUGAUGUAUCAUUACCUUCAUUAGCUGACUGUAAAUGGCACAUUUGCCUAAGAAUAUCAAAAUUUCAAAUCUACACAGGAAGUUCUUUGACAGAGAGCAGAAUAGAGUAAAUAUUUGGGAGAGUGUUUCCCUAAAUAUUUUACUAUGUGCAGCUUAUUUCAUCUUGGAAGUUAACAAUAAUUAACAGAAUGCACCAGGUAUAGCAUCAUAUGUGUAUGUAAAGUAUCAGCACACAUGAAUGAAUUGAGACAUGUUUAGUGACCCAAUGUACUGUGUUCAAAGGCUCCAUCCAACAGUUCAAAGACAUAUCAUAGCAGUGAAGCAAAUGGUGGCAAAUGAUGGCUUUGUGGUGGUUAGUGAAAAACUGUGGCAAUCUACAUUGGUGGUGGCAAACACUGACAGAAAAUUUCUGGACCAGCAGUGACAUUAAGUUGAAAAUAAUGACAUAUUUUACACUGUACUGAAGAUGUAAUUGCGAAAAUUAUUCAAGAAAUAAUAUAUCUCAUUCAGUGAUUUUUCGCUGAAUAAAUCAUUGUUUGGAAUUCAGAUGCGAAGGAAUUACAUCAUGAGGGCGCAACAUUACUGAAAGGAUUUUCUUCAAACUUUCACAAGUGAACAAUCUUGACGAGUAGAUACAACUACAAUUACAUUGCAUCCAAAAUCAGUGGCACAGAAACCAGUAGGGGACUAUGUAUUGCCUUGCAAUACUUCAGCACCUUGUUGUUUUAUAUGUGUAACCUGUAAAUGAUUAUUGGUGUGUUUUAUAAAGUUAAGAAGUCCUAGAUGACAUUUUUAGUUUUUAAUUUUAGCCUCACCUAUGAACAUGCACUGCUUAGGGGAGCUCAUUUGUGACCAUCCUUUGUCCAAGACCGUGAAUCAAACCUACAACCUGCUGCACACAGCAUUUUCAUUUAGGAUAUAAUCAUAUUGGGUAUAACUUUUUGCUAUUUCAGGGCCCUUAGAACUAGGCUGGAAUAUUUUCCAGGUUAUACCAGGCCCAUUUUCCAGCAUUCCCUGGAAAAUUUACCAUGUUAAAACCUGGAACAUUUUCCAGCCUAAUCUAGGCUAUGCUGGAAAAUGUUCCAGGCUUUUCCAGACUUUGGUUAAAAAAUGGUCCGAAUACUCCAGGUUCAUGGAAAAACAGGAAUUUUAUUCCUGGCAGCCUGGAAGAUGUUCCAGAUUUUAUCAUGGUAUAUUUUCCAGGGAUGCUGGUAUAUCAUGGUACAUAUUCCAGCCAUGGCUUUUUCAAAUUUUCCGCAUUGAUAAUUUGGUUAGGCUGGAAAAGGCUGGAAACUUAGUCCGAAUACUCCAGGCUUUUUUUUCCCAUGGAAUUCCAUGGUAAACCCUGGAACUAUUUCACCCG